rnacentral:rRNA from 1 species
CGGCAUGCUUAACGCAUGCAAGUCGAACGGUAGCAGAAGAAAGCUUGCUUUCUUGCUGACGAGUGGCGGACGGGUGAGUAAUGUAUAGGAAAUUGCCUUAAGGUGGGGGAUAACAUUCGGAAACGAAUGCUAAUACCACAUAAUAACUACGGUUCAAAGUGGGGGCUCGCAAGACCUCACGCCCUAAGAGAUGCCUAUAUUGGAUUAGCUUGUUGGUGAGGUAAUGGCUCACCAAGGCAACGAUCCAUAGCUGGUUUGAGAGGAUGAUCAGCCACAUUGGGACUGAGACACGGCCCAAACUCCUACGGGAGGCAGCAGUGGGGAAUAUUGGACAAUGGGGGAAACCCUGAUCCAGCAAUGCCGCGUGUGUGAAUGAAGGUCUUAGGAUUGUAAAGCACUUUUAGUAAUGAAGAAUGGUUAGUAGCUAAUACCUGCUAAUUUGACAUUAGUUACAGAAAAAGCACCGGCUAACUCCGUGCCAGCAGCCGCGGUAAUACGGAGGGUGCAAGCGUUAUUCGGAAUGACUGGGCGUAAAGCGCACGCAGGCGGUUAUUUAAGUCAGAUGUGAAAGCCCCGAGCUUAACUUGGGAAUUGCAUUUGAAACUGGAUAACUAGAAUAUGUCAGGGGAAGGCGGAAUUUCCAGUGUAGCAGUGAAAUGCGUAGAGAUUGGAAGGAACACCGAUGGCGAAGGCAGCCUUCUGGGACUAUAUUGACGCUCAUGUGCGAAAGCGUGGGUAGCAAACAGGAUUAGAUACCCUGGUAGUCCACGCCCUAACGAUGCCACUAGGCGUUGGAAUUU